rnacentral:rRNA from 1 species
UACGUAGGGACCAAGCGUUGUUCGGAUUUACUGGGCGUAAAGGGCGCGUAGGCGGCGUGACAAGUCACUUGUGAAAUCUCUGGGCUUAACCCAGAACGGCCAAGUGAAACUGUUGUGCUAGAGUGCAGAAGGGGCAAUCGGAAUUCUCGGUGUAGCGGUGAAAUGCGUAGAUAAUCGAGAGGAACACCAGAGGUGAAGACGGGUUGCUGGGCUGACACUGACGGCUGAGGCGCGAAAGCCAGGGGAGCAAACGGG